UGGGGAUGACAUGGAAUUCUACUGAGAUGGAAGAGAUGAAAGCCUUGAAUGAAGCCAUGCAUCAGAGCUUAUUGUCCCAUCAGCAAGAGCAAAAGAUUAUGGUGACAGCAGCCUUCAUGGAGCCAUCAAAAGAGGAAGAGGAGGAGGAACUAUUGAUGAUGGCACUGGCCAUUAGUGGUAUAGAGAUGUAAGAGGAAACCUGGAAUAAAACCAUGCGCCACGUCUUAUUGGGCCAGCAGCAGAGACAAGAGAACAGCAGCCGCUGCCAUCCUAUGCACCACCGUGCCUUAUUAUUCAACCAGUGCCAAGACCUCCUACGAGGAGCUGAAUCUAUCUAGCAAGAAGUAUAUUAUGGGUGCCGUUAUUGGAUUGUUUUAGUUAACGCUAUAGUACCUUUUUACCAUUUUCCCAAUUGUGUGAUUUUGUAUCGCUUAGAAUUUGUACUGGUGAUCUAUUUCUGUUCUGUAUGUUGUUUGAACUAUUUUGGAAUGAUUCUAGAAAUUA